rnacentral:rRNA from 2 species
UGAGGAAUAUUGGUCAAUGGAGGCAACUCUGAACCAGCCAAGUCGCGUGAAGGAUGAAGGUCUUAUGGAUUGUAAACUUCUUUUGUAAGGGAAUAAAGUGAGCCACGUGUGGUUUUUUGCAUGUACCUUACGAAUAAGGAUCGGCUAACUCCGUGCCAGCAGCCGCGGUAAUACGGAGGAUCCGAGCGUUAUCCGGAUUUAUUGGGUUUAAAGGGUGCGCAGGCGGGAUGUUAAGUCGGCGGUGAAAUUUUGCGGCUCAACCGUAAAAGUGCCUUCGAAACUGGCAUUCUUGAGUAUGGAUGAAGUAGGCGGAAUUUGUGGUGUAGCGGUGAAAUGCUUAGAUAUCACGAGGAACUCCGAUUGCGCAGGCAGCUUACUAAACCAUAACUGACGCUCAUGCACGAAGGCGUGGGGAUCAAACAGG